GCCUCGCCACCAUGGUGGGGCCCGGACGAGGGAGCCGUACCCGGAGUCGCGACAAGACGGCCAGA
rnacentral:ncRNA from 1 species